GCUGGUUAAGCUGCCCUUAAUCGUCGUUACUUACGACGACCUUUGGAUCCAUUACAGAAGAAGAACAGAUGUCUCCUGCCCUAUUCAUCAACUUAGUGCUCUUUCUCAUGUUGUUCUUUAAUCGAAACAAGAAGGGAAAACAAAGAUCCGAUCCGAGUUGACCCGAGAUCCCGUUUUCUGUGAUCGUUAAAGCAAUAGAUCUGUUUCUCCAGACUCAAAGACAUCAUGAAAAUGAAACCUAGAAGGAAAAGAGACUCAUGAACAACAGAAGCGUUUUCAAUCUCAGAUUUAACAAAGAUGACCAAAAUCUAAUGGAAAGAGUAAGCCGUCAUCUCUGAUUCUACCUCUUCCUCUUGGCCGUUCUGAAUCUCUACAUUACUGUGCGUUUAUCCACUCUUAAUCAUUCAUUACUGUUCUUUAAUCCUCUCUUCAUCAGCGAUGAUUUCCUUCCAACUCCCUCUCUUUCUACUCCUAUAUUACCCACUUUGUGAAAGGUUUAAUCAAAAUCAAACUCUUCAGGGGAACUGUGAAGCCUUUGAGUGCCUCAGCUUGCAAUCAGAAGCAAUCUUUUCCGGUGGGAUCUCAAGAUCAAAGCUUUGAUGUGUGUCUUAUCAAAAAAAAAGAAGAAGCUUUGAUGUGUGUCACUGGCAGCGAAUCUCUUAUCGUUAUUGUUCUAUCUGGAAUUACGGAAUCUGGAUUUAAAGGUAACUGAACUUUGUAUCCAUUACAUUUUGC